rnacentral:rRNA from 1 species
GACGAACGCUGGCGGCGUGCUUAACACAUGCAAGUCGAACGGAAAGGCCCUGCUUUUGUGGGGUGCUCGAGUGGCGAACGGGUGAGUAACACGUGAGUAACCUGCCCUUGACUUUGGGAUAACUUCAGGAAACUGGGGCUAAUACCGGAUAGGAGCUCCUGCUGCAUGGUGGGGGUUGGAAAGUUUCGGCGGUUGGGUAUGGACUCGCGGCUUAUCAGCUUGUUGGUGGGGUAGUGGCUUACCAAGGCUUUGACGGGUAGCCGGCCUGAGAGGGUGACCGGCCACAUUGGGACUGGGAUACGGCCCAGACUCAUACGGGAGGCAGAAGUGGGGAAUGUUGCACAAUGGGCGGAAGCCUGGUGCAGCAACGCCGCGUGCGGGAUGACGGCCUUCGGGUUGUAAACCGCUUUCGCCUGUGACGAAGCGUGAGUGACGGUAAUGGGUAAAGAAGCACCGGCUAACUACGUG